rnacentral:lncRNA from 1 species
CAGGGCUGGGAUCAGGUCUGGGAUCAGGGCUGGGAUCAGAGCCAGGAUCAGGUCAGGGAUCAGGGCUGGGAUCAGGGAUCAGAGCUGGGAUCAGGUCUGGGAUCAGGGCUGGGAUCAGAGCCAGGAUCAGGUCAGGGAUCAGAGCUGGGAUCAGGGAUCAGAGCUGGGAUCAGGGAUCAGAGCUGGGAUCAGGGAUCAGGGCUGGGAUCAGGGCUGGGAUCAGGGAUCAGGGCUGGGAUCAGGGCUGGGAUCAGGGAUCAGAGCUGGGAUCAGGGAUCAGGGCUGGGAUCAGGGAUCAGAGCUGGGAUCAGGGAUCAGGGCUGGGAUCAGAGCCAGGAUCAGGUCUGGGAUCAGGGCUGGGAUCAGGGAUCAGAGCUGGGAUCAGGGAUCAGGGAUCAGGGCUGGGAUCAGAGCCAGGAUCAGGUCUGGGAUCAGGGCUGGGAUCAGGGAUCAGGGCUGGGAUCAGAGCCAGGAUCAGGUCUGGGAUCAGGGCUGGGAUCAGGGAUCAGGGCUGGGAUCAGGGCUGGGAUCAGAGCCAGGAUCAGGUCUGGGAUCAGGUCUGGGAUCAGGGAUCAGGGCUGGGAUCAGGGAUCAGGGCUGGGAUCAGGGCUGGGAUCAGGGCUGGGAUCAGGGAUCAGGGCUGGGAUCAGGGCUGGGAUCAGAGCCAGGAUCAGGUCUGGGAUCAGGGAUCAGGGCUGGGAUCAGAGGCAGGAACCAUGUGCAGAUAUUACAACACCACAGCCACAGCGCCCGGGCGGGAAUCGGAGCUGCUGGGAACGGGGUGAGGAAGUCGGGACCUUGCAGGCUGCCAGGCCCUGCAGAUGUGGAACAGCUUGUGUUUGGGGCUGGGCUGGGAGGAGAGGCCCUUUCAACCCCAAACAUCGUUAAUCAGCGCUGGGACAGCGCGGAGCUGAGGCUGCAGCUCCUGCUACCGAUGUCCUUUCCAGCCGGAGCAGGGAGGGGAGAGCUUGGACGCUCCGGGAGAAGUCUCAGGUCCUUCUCCCUUUCUCUGCCUCGUUCCAGAGCCUGGCCUUGCUCCUGCUGGCCAGGCUGGUGACCGUGGUGGCCACCAGUGCCCAUCCCAAGGCAGCCUGGUUUUGGGUGCAGGAGAGGAAGGGCACAGAGGGGUGGCCCAGGAGACCUCACUGCAGGGGCUGCGCUGGGGAGCAGGGACAGGAGCCAGGGGAACGCUGGAGCUGUGCCAGGGGGGCAUUUUUGGGAAAGGUUGUUCCCCCAGAGGCUGCUGGGGCACUGCCCAGGCUCCCCAGGGAAUGGUGACAUUCCCGAGGCUGCCGGAGCUCCAGGAGCGCUUGG